UACAGCGAAACUGCGAAUGGCUCAUUAUAUAAGUUAUCGUUUAUUUGAUAGUACCUUACUACUUGGAUAACCGUGGUAAUUCUAGAGCUAAUACAUGCUAAAAAUCCCGACUUCGGAAGGGAUGUAUUUAUUAGAUUAAAAACCAAUGCCCUCCGGGGCUCACUGGUGAUUCAUGAUAACUCCUCGAAUCGCAUGGCCUUGCGCCGGCGAUGGUUCAUUCAAAUUUCUUCCCUAUCAACUUUCGAUGUUUGGGUAUUGGCCAAACAUGGUUGCAACGGGUAACGGAGGGUUAGGGCUCGACCCCGGAGAAGGAGCCUGAGAAACGGCUACUACAUCCAAGGAAGGCAGCAGGCGCGCAAAUUACCCAAUCCCGACUCGGGGAGGUAGUGACAAUAAAUACUGAUACAGGGCUCUUUUGGGUCUUGUAAUUGGAAUGAGUACAAUUUAAAUCCCUUAACGAGGAACAAUUGGAGGGCAAGUCUGGUGCCAGCAGCCGCGGUAAUUCCAGCUCCAAUAGCGUAUAUUAAAGUUGUUGUGGUUAAAAAGCUCGUAGUUGAACCUUGGGCCUGGCUGGCCGGUCCGCCUCACCGCGUGUACUGGUCCGGCCGGGCCUUUCCCUCUGUGGAACCCCAUGCCCUUCACUGGGUGUGGCGGGGAAACAGGACUUUUACUGUGAAAAAAUUAGAGUGCUCCAGGCAGGCCUAUGCUCGAAUACAUUAGCAUGGAAUAAUAGAAUAGGACGUGUGGUUCUAUUUUGUUGGUUUCUAGGACCGCCGUAAUGAUUAAUAGGGACAGUCGGGGGCAUCAGUAUUCAAUUGUCAGAGGUGAAAUUCUUGGAUUUAUUGAAGACUAACUACUGCGAAAGCAUUUGCCAAGGAUGUUUUCAUUAAUCAGGAACGAAAGUUAGGGGAUCGAAGACGAUCAGAUACCGUCGUAGUCUUAACCAUAAACUAUGCCGACUAGGGAUCGGACGAUGUUAUAUUUUGACUCGUUCGGCACCUUACGAGAAAUCAAAGUGCUGGGCUC
rnacentral:rRNA from 1 species